AUGGUGAUUCUACCCGGGUGUGGUGAUCUACAAACAGCCGAAGGAGCAGCUCACGAGGAAUUGGGAGUUGCGCUGUAUCGUCUUAUGAGUGCAGUUCCCACCGGCUGGACUUGGUGGAAUUGGCGAACAACAGAAGCUGAAACAAUAUACCACUUCAUUCAAGAACUGCGAAUGGAGAUUUCGAUAUACAGAGACUGGGGUGUGAAAAUUUCUGCCGAGGAGCAUCGUUUCACCGAAAUGCUUAAAACUGUGCUUGAUAGAGCAGACAAGUUCUUGUCUGCUGGAAACACCAUCUUACAUGGCCAAGCUCAGGUAACGAAGGGAGGAAACACUCUACUGAAGUCUCUGAAUGCUGUUUCUUCUGAGGUGGUCCAGAUUUCUGGGAAAACUUCGCCCAAGCAAAGCAGUUACAUUACGAAUCGUCCUUGCCCAUUAUAUGGCGCGAACUGUGUCUGUGUACGCUUUCUUGGUUGCAUAAUGGAAGGUCCCAGUGUGCAAAACUAUAUCGCGGAUCCUUAUGAGUUAGGUGGCAUUUCUGAGAAGCCCAAACCCCAGUUACCAAAUACUUGCUCAGAUGAAUGCAAGGAUGUGCAUGGUCUAACUGGCGCUGAACCAGAAAAUCAAUGCGUGUUUUUGGCUUCGACUGACCCAAUCAACGUAGUGAAGUCUGGAGGAAUCGAUUGGGCACUUCUCACCCCGGUUUACUACAGAGGAACCUUUCAUCGGGCAGCUUCUGUUGUACAUCUCGAUGUGCCCCCGGCUCCAAUACACACAAGGAGGAUGGGUAUGAUGCGAGAUAUAUAUGCUAUUGAGGAUGUCGCAUGGUACAAAGAUCAGACUUCUUCUAUUGAACGUGAAGCAUCGUCGUUCAUCCAAUUUUCCGUGGAAACUUCACCCAAGGGAGGCGUUGACAUUAAGAUUGGUUCAUACAAAAUACAUGUGCCGAAAUAUGGAAGUGUACACCGCCCACUCGUUCAAAUGGUGCUCUUUGCUGACUCGCUGUAUGGUGCAACAUUAGCAUGUCUCAAAUCUAUUGUGCCCAAAGGCAUCGUUAAUCUUUAUGAAUCAGGUCGCAUUUCUCAGAAGCCCAUACCGCAGUCAACUAAUCCAAUUGUGGACGAUCUCACUCACGCUGAACCGGAAAAUUAUGUCACUACUGAUUAUGUCGACCGUCGCAUCUGUGGCAAUAUUGAGGCAGAGGGGAAAACCGCAGCUACCUGGCUGAUUGAUACCGGCGCUGUGCACCACGCAACAGGAAAGCUUUCACUCAUGUCUGACGUAACAACUGAAGCUGAUGAUGAUCUCUUCAUGACGGCGCGGGAUGGUGUUCGCAUGCGGGUCCAUGCCCAAGGCUCUGUGAUAACCGAUACGGUGGUUCUCCCGGACGUGUGGUACAUCCCAGGCCUCACCAAGAACGUUGUCUCAGCUUCCCAGCUCAAUCAGCUCGGCUACAGCAUCGGGUUUACCCGCGGCACAUGCUUCAUCAGGAGUGCUACUGAUGGCACACUCAUUGGCAAAGGGCAUGUUUCAGAAGAUGGGCUCUUUGAGACGGACUUCCUCAAAGUCAGUUAG
rnacentral:rRNA from 1 species